UGCGUUAAAGUAUAAUUAUAAGUACAUAGAUAUUUGAAAUCUAAAGUUUAAACGCAU
rnacentral:tRNA from 1 species